GAUGAACGCUGGCGGCGUGCCUAAUACAUGCAAGUCGAGCGAACGGACGAGAAGCUUGCUUCUCUGAUGUUAGCGGCGGACGGGUGAGUAACACGUGGAUAACCUACCUAUAAGACUGGGAUAACUUCGGGAAACCGGAGCUAAUACCGGAUAAUAUUUUGAACCGCAUGGUUCAAAAGUGAAAGACGGUCUUGCUGUCACUUAUAGAUGUCUCCGCGCUGCAUUAGCUAGUUGUUAAGGUAACGGCUUACCAAGGCAACGAUGCAUAGCCGACCUGAGAGGGUGAUCGGCCAAAUUGGAACUGAGACACGGUCCAGACUCCUACGGGAGGCAGCAGGAGGGAAUCUUCCGCAAUGGGCGAAAGCCUGACGGAGCAACGCCGCGUGAGGGAUGAAGGUCUUCGGAUCUUAAAACUCUGUUAUUAGGGAAGAACAUAUGUGUAAGUAACUGUGCACAUCUUGACGGUACCUAAUCAGAAAGCCACGGCUAACUACGUG
rnacentral:rRNA from 1 species